AGAGCGAACGCUGGCGGCAGGCUUAACACAUGCAAGUCGAGCGGGCGUAGCAAUACGUCAGCGGCAGACGGGUGAGUAACGCGUGGGAACGUACCUUUUGGUUCGGAACAACCCAGGGAAACUUGGGCUAAUACCGGAUAAGCCCUUACGGGGAAAGAUUUAUCGCCGAAAGAUCGGCCCGCGUCUGAUUAGCUAGUUGGUGAGGUAAUGGCUCACCAAGGCGACGAUCAGUAGCUGGUCUGAGAGGAUGAUCAGCCACAUUGGGACUGAGACACGGCCCAAACUCCUACGGGAGGCAGCAGUGGGGAAUAUUGGACAAUGGGCGCAAGCCUGAUCCAGCCAUGCCGCGUGAGUGAUGAAGGCCCUAGGGCUGUAAAGCUCUUUGUGCGGGAAGAUAAUGACGGUACGCAAGAAUAAGCCCGGCUACUUCGCGCCAGCAGCCGC
rnacentral:rRNA from 1 species